rnacentral:lncRNA from 1 species
GCCCGCUUCCCGUGCGCUCUCCCUCACCCCAGCUGCUCUGGAUGCCACAGGAAGCCUCCAUUCCUGCCCCACGAUCCAGAACCUCACCCCUGGAUUAAAGUAGAUGGUCGCAUAUUCCUGAAGGUUUCUGGUGAUCCUUGGUUCUCCAUUCAUAGUCAAAGGCGAGGCACUAGAAAGCUGAUCGGAGGCUCUGAGAUCUAGAACUGAACCAAACCUGUGAAUCAUUCAACAAACACUUACUGGAUACUGAUUAAGUGCAAGUCACCUGUGGAGAAUUCAAGAUGGCUGCAAAUACUUGUACCUACCUUCCAUUGAGAAGCGGGGUCUUUGCCCCCAUCCUUGAAUCUGGGCAGCCUUUGGGACUGCUUUGAGCAAUAGAAUAUGGCAGAAGUGUUGCUGUACCAGUUUUGAGGCCCAGACCUCCAAGAAACAAACAACUUGAGCUUUCCAACUUCCUGUCUCUCAGGAUGCUCUCUCUGGGAGCUUUGAGCUGCCAUAUAAGAAGUCCGACUUCUGUGCCCACCACAUUGGCGAGGCCACGGGCAGGCAAUCUGGUCAACAGUCCCAGCUGAGCCCAGGCUCCUAGCCAGCCCUGCCAAGGUGCCAGACACGUCAGUGAGGCCUCCUGGAAUCCUCCAGUAACAGGACUUUGAAUAUUAAUUGGAUAUACAGAGGCACAGACUGAAGACUACACUUUCCAGCCUCCCAUGCAGCUGGAUGGAGCCAUACAACCAAGUUUCGGCCAAAGGAAAGAACGUGGCUCAGAUGGAUGUGCCAGAGGAAAUGCACCAGGAAAUCCCGAGCAGGGUGCAAUCAGUCACCAUUAAUGCUCACAAGUAUCAAAGCUACUUGAAGAAAUACAGCUACUUAUGGAUGGAUGAUAAAAUUGAAUUCACGAAGCAGUUCCUUCUCCAUGAGUGAUUUCUUAGUGCUGAAAAACUAGAAUUGCAUGUGGACUAUGAGUGUCAGAACUCCACACUGCAGUUAGCACACUUUACAGAACACGUAUUGAAUUUUAGCUGAGUCUAGCAUCAUCUUUUUCAACUCCCAGGACAGCUGUUAAAUCAUAAAAUAUUUUGAGAUAUAAAGCUCUUGCCUCUGAGAGAUCUUUCCUUUUUUUCCCCUUUUCCUUUAAGAUCAACAUCUAUGAAAUAUUAUGUGAAGGAAUUGAUAACUUUAAAAAUCAGAAGAUAUUUAGUGGCUAGCUUCAACUUGAUACUUUUAAAAAUCCAUGAUGAAUGUUACAAAAAAUGAGAUUUGAUGUUUAAGGAGCAUCUGCUUAACCAUUGUAACCUGUAGGUAGAGUAAUUUGAAUCUGAUUGUGAAAGGAAAUUAAAAUAACACAAAUCAUUUGAUGAAACUAUCCUCAUAGAAUUCUAAUUUAACUCAAAUAAUAAGUAUUUUAAUGGUUCUCCUAUGUGCUUAUUUUUAAUGUCGUAUUCUGUAAGUUACAAGAGAGUUGCUUUCAUGCAUGUGAAAUGCAAUUCUCUUCUUGCAAAAACUUGACACAAUGCUUAUCCAUUUGAUUUGAUUGCAUUUACGUGUUCAUUAAUAUAAUUGAAACAUGUAGCUUCCCCCAAGUUUUCACAGGCUCAUCCCUAAUUAACUGUUGGCAUUUUCUCAUAUUAUAUGUUAGUAUAACUGAGUUAGGGCAAUUUAUUGAUGAAAUAGGGAAAGAUUGAGCAGAGGACGUGAAGUGGGAAUUCAGCCCAUUGAGUACUGAUUGGGGGACUGUGGGCAGCUGGACCAUGCCAGGCAAUAGCCCUAAAAUCUCUGCUAUUUUAACUGCUUUACUAAAGCAUCCAGAAGAGAUUUAUAUGGGCAUAAGUGAUAGGGACUCAAGAGAGAGAGGUUAUCUCCAGGAGAUAGUAUUACUUUCCCCCAACUGGGCCCUGAACCACAAGUCAAAGGAGACUCAUGGUCUUCUAAGUAUGUUCUGUGUAUUUACAGGGUAUUUAAAAAAGUUUUAAAGAUUUAAUAGAACAGUCUGUGAACUUGGAAGGAGAAAAGAGAGCUUCUAAUCCUUGCUCAGCACUUUUGAGCACUGUGAUCUUGCUUGAGUGAGUUAGCCUGAGCGCAUUUCUUCACAGUGCCCUUGUGGGGUCUAAAUGCAAUACUUAUACAGGCUGCCUUGAUGUAGCCAACCAGUAUAUGUUUAUUGAAAUAUGAGGCUUUUAACCUUUUUUCUUUUCUUUUCUUUUUUUUUGUUUUUGAGAAGGAGUCUCGCUCUGUCGCCCAGGCUGGAGUGCAGAGGCGUGAUCUCGGCUCACUGCAAGCUCUGCCUCCUGUGUUCACGCCAUUCUCCUGCCUCAGCCUCCCGAGUAGCUGGGACUACAGGCGCCUGCCACCACGCCCGGCUAAUUUUUUGUAUUUUUAGUAGAGAUGGGGUUUCACUGUGUUAGCCAGGAUGGUCUUGAUCUCCUGACCUCAUGAUCCACCUGCCUCAGCCUCCCAAAGUGCUGGGAUUACAGGCAUGAGCCACCACGCCCGGCCCUUAACCUUUUUUUAAAUCAAGGAUAGGAAAUGAAAUCCACAAAGGAGGUGGUCAAUAAAAUAAGCAAAGGAGAUUUAAAUGGAGAUAACUUUUCAAAUUAAGAGUUUAAAGUCUUAUUUUUUUGUCCUUUACAGAUUAAUGUGAGGAUAUCUGACUAAAAGAAUUAAGAAACCCCUACCUUUAUUAUUUAUUUAUUUUUUGAGAUGGAGACUUGCUCUGACACCCAAGCUGGAGUGCAGUGGUGUGAUCUCGGCUUACUGCAGUCUACACUUCCCGAGUUCAAGCGAUUCUCCUGCCUCAGCCUCUUGAGUAGCUGGGAUUACAGGUGCCCGCCACCACGCCUGGCCAAUUUUUUUGUUGUUGUAUUUUUAGUAGAGACGGGGUUUCACCAUGUUGGCCAGGGUGGUCUCGAACUCCUGACCGCAAGUGAUCUGCCCACCUUGGCCUCCCAAAGUGCUGAGAUUACAGGUGUGAACCACUGUGCCCGGCCCCUAC